GCCCCGUGACCCUAGCUUGAGGUGACGGCGGGAGCCAAGGCGGGGGCCCAAAGCACUGAGGCUGAGGGACCCGCCACGGCUCCGUCGUCCGAGAGGCAGGGCCUGCUGCCGUCGGGCAGAGCCUCUGGACUCCCAGGUUCCUGGCCAGGGAGGAGGAGGAAAAAGCAAGACCUAUCUGCCAGGGCUGAGCGUGGCCUGAGGGCCAGGCUGUUGGUCCUGGGAUGCCCCAGCCCCAGUCCAGUGAGCAAGAGGGUGAGAGCAUGAAGGCCACCCAGGAGCCAGCUCCUCAGCCUGGCACAGAUGUGGUCCCAGCAGCCCCCAGGAAGCCCAGAAAAUUCUCCAAACUGGUCCUGCUGACAGCCUCCAAAGACAGCGCCAAAGUGGCUGGGGCCAAGCGUAAAGGAGUGCACUGCAUCAUGUCCCUGGGAGUGCCAGGCCCGGCCACCUUGGCUAAGGCCCUCCUCAAGACUCAUCCUGAGGCUCAACGGGCCAUUGAAGCAACUCCCCCGGAGCCUGAACAGAAGCGCAGCAAGCCGAACCUGGCCAGCUCAGACUAUGGGAGGAAUGAGGUGGCAGGUAGCAGACCGAUUGGCUGAGGACAAACAAAAGAGACUGGCAGGUAUCCUCUGAGCAUUCAAGGGAUUGGGGGAACAGCAAGUGGCCGAGCUUCAGUACUCAUCAGUGUCAGGAAAUUGGUGGGUGGGGCUGAGGUAGGCAGAGAUGGCAGAGAUGAUGGCCACAGGAUGUACUUAUACACAGACGUGCCAGCACACAUAGUCCCCAAAGUCACUAGAGCUAGAAGGAGAGCUCUAGGCCCACAGCACUGGAGGCCCAGGGAGGGUACAAGGUACCUUCCUGGGUGAAGCUGAACUGUCCCUAACCUGUGUGUUUUAGUGUGUAUGUGUCUUUCUGUAUGUGCACAUGAUUGACAAUUCCUGUGUGUUCUCUGGCUGUCGUCCAUGUGAGCAUCUCUGUCAUUGUCCUUCUUGUCCAUUUGUAUGACUUUUACCUUUAAGGGUGGGUGUCAGUCUUUAGCGGUUCCCCCUCCACCCCCAGGCCUGAGGCAGGAGAUACCGUAACUCAACACACCUUUGGGUUAACUCAGCGGCAGAUACAUGAACCAAUCUCUUCCCAACAGAAGCAGCACCAGUCAGGCCCUGAGAUGCUGGGGAUGAGAAAAGUCCUGGGCUUCCAUGUUCUGCCUUUGCACAGGAGACCCCUGGGGAUCACCCAUGCGCUCAACCAGCAAGAGAAAGGAGGGGGAGCCCCCGUGCUACCACCAGACAGCUGGGCUGCAAGGGAGAAACUUAAUGGGAUGGCCUAAAGUCAGAGUUUCAUAGUCACACAGCCCAUCCCCACCAUUAGGGGGCUAAAAUCUCAGGCAAGCCAAGAUGGAUGCCCAUAUAGCUACAAGCCUAGAGUUUCUUGGGGACCAUAAGGAUCCUCAGCCUCCUACUCACAACAUGAGCAGUACGGCGGAGUCCAGGAAUACCUUGGUAAGCUAUCUUUUUGUGAGUGUUUUUAUAGUCGAUCCUGCUCUGGGUGCAUUCCUGUCCUCCCACCUGGUUCUCACCAGCACAGGGGUAGAAAAAGGGGUCUCCUAGCCCCACAGGAGACUGAUUUUAGCGUCACUACCCUGAGGCCUCCUGCACAGAAGGAGAGGGAUGGACUCUGGCUGGGAAAGCAGUCUUCCCACAAGAGCUGGGUAUAGAGCCGUCAUGUGGGGCCCUUCCAACCAUGGGAGACCCUGCCUUGCUUCUUCUGUAAGUUCAGGCUCCACCGUGCUUUGGCUUCUGUGAGAACUGGAACAAAACUCACUUCUCCAGAUGUGACAGACAAAGGAAGGAUGGCACCCCCUUCAGCGCUGUGCUGGGCAGGUGCUUUUGAUCAGUGGACAACCUGCUGUCCUACAAGCAGACCUCCCUGUCUCUGCCCCACCCCUGGCCAGGUAGUGGCCAUUCAGUCACUUCCUGCUCAGCUUUUUCUUGGAAACGACUUAAGAAAGGUCACAAGUUUGUGACCCUAGGUUUGUGGCUUUUGAGGAAUAGUGUUCUCACUGUGGCAGUUCUCUAAGUCAGUUAACAAAGCCAUCUAGCCCUACGCUGACCCCUAAGAUGCUAGGGUGAGAAUGGCCCUCAGCUUACAGAAGAAGAGGAGGAGCCCAGGGCCAGCCUCUGCCAGCCAUACUUAGUUCAGUUACCAAGUUGGCCUCUCUGUCUUUCUCCCAGAUACAGAUGGACCAGAAGACAAUGGAGGGUCAGGAGGGUCGUCUUCAAGUCCAGCGGAGACCACUGUAUUCCCCAAGGCCCCCAGCGCUUCUCCAUAACCUGGGCAACUGCUGCUGCAUAAGUUACUUUUCUAAGUAAGAAACAAAAAAGAAAGAGAAAAUAAAAGAAGCUGCUGUUUCCCACCA